rnacentral:rRNA from 1 species
UACGUAGGGUGCAAGCGUUAAUCGGAAUUACUGGGCGUAAAGCGUGCGCAGGCGGUUUUGUAAGUCUGACGUGAAAUCCCCGGGCUCAACCUGGGAAUUGCAUCUGUGACUGCAUAGCUAGAGUACGGUAGAGGGGGGAUGGAAUUCCGCGUGUAGCAGUGAAAUGCGCAGAUAUCAGGAAGAACACCCCGUGGCUAAGGCGGUUCUCUAGUACGGUACUGACGCUGGAGACGCGAAAGCGUGGGGAGCGAACAGG